rnacentral:rRNA from 1 species
CCUACGGGGUGCAUCAGUGGGGGAUAUUGCACAAUGGGGGAAACCCUGAUGCAGCGACGCCGCGUGGGUGAAGAAGCGCCUCGGCGCGUACAGCCCUGUCAGCAGGGAAGAAAAUGACGGUACCUGAAGAAGAAGCCCCGGCUAACUACGUGCCAGCAGCCGCGGUAAUACGUAGGGGGCAAGCGUGAUCCGGAUUUACUGGGUGUAAAGGGGGCGCAGACGGCGAUGCAAGCCAGGAGUGAAAGCCCGGGGCCCAACCCCGGGACUGCUCUUGGAACUGCGUGGCUAGAGUGCAGGAGGGGCAGGCGGAAUUCCUGGUGGAGCGGUGAAAUGCGUAGAUAUCAGGAGGAACACCGGUGGCGAAGGCGGCCUGCUGGACUGCAACUGACGUUGAGGCCCGAAAGCGUGGGGAGCAAACAGGAUUAGAUACCCCGGUAGUC